rnacentral:lncRNA from 1 species
GGAUACCCUGCUGGUGCCAAGGCUCUUAAAUAUGGUAUUUAUAUUACUUGAUUAUACAUAUAAACCAGAUCUUAGGAACCUUGAAUUUAGCUCUAAAUAAAAAAAAUAUUUGUCUAGGUUUGGGUGCUGGUGGUGGUUUACCAGGAGGGACUGGUGUUGUGUCUGGACUCCAGAGACCAGGUUUGGGUGGAGCUGGUGGAUUCCCAGGUGGAGUUGGAACAGGAACUGGAUAUGGAGGAUAUGGAACUGGGGUAAAACCACCUAAAUACGGUAAAUUGUUUUCAUUUUUAUUGCAAAUAUGAGUCUCCGUAUACUAUAGAAACUCUCUA